CAGUCGCCGCGGGAAUACGAAGGGUGCAAGCGUUAAUCGGAAUUACUGGGCGUAAAGCGUGCGUAGGCGGUGAGUUAAGUCUGCUGUGAAAUCCCCGGGCUCAACCUGGGAAUGGCAAUGGAAACUGGACGGCUAGAGUGUGUCAGAGGAUGGUGGAAUUCCCGGUGUAGCGGUGAAAUGCGUAGAGAUCGGGAGGAACAUCAGUGGCGAAGGCGGCCAUCUGGGACAACACUGACGCUGAAGCACGAAAGCGUGGGGAGCAAACAGGAUUAGAUACCCGCGUAGUCCCUGUCUCUUAUAC
rnacentral:rRNA from 1 species